UACAGAGGUCCCAAGCGUUGUUCGGAUUCACUGGGCGUAAAGGGUGCGUAGGUGGUUGGGCAAGUCUGAUGUGAAAUCUCCGGGCUUAACCCGGAAAUGGCAUUGGAAACUGCCUGGCUAGAGUGUUGGAGGGGGGACUGGAAUUCUCGGUGUAGCAGUGAAAUGCGCAGAUAUCAGGAGGAACACCAAUUGCGAAGGCAGCUCGCUGGGACGUAACUGACGCUGAGACGCGAAAGCGUGGGGAGCAAACAGG
rnacentral:rRNA from 1 species